UUCUCCUCCUUCUUCUCCUUCUUCUUCUCCUUCUUCUUCUCCUUCUUCUUUUGCUUCUUCUUCUUCUCCUCCUCUUUCUUAUCCUCUUUCAUAUUAUCCUUACCUUAUUUUCCCCCAACAAUGACAUAAUUAGCCCAUUUAGCUCCAAAAAGGCAUACUUAGCUAAUUUAGCUUGAAGAAGAGGACAAGAGGAGAAGAAAGAGGAAAAAUGAAAAGAAGGAAGAAUAAGAAGA
rnacentral:lncRNA from 1 species